UCCCUCUUAGGGUGGCACCUGGAGAGUUUCCAAUCCUCUACCAGUCUUGGUUAAGGGAGGGAGAGUCAAGCAGAGGCUUAUCCAUUCCAUUCUUAGCUUGGCCAGUGGCUAGCGAGUAGAAGGCUAUCUGCUACAAGC
rnacentral:snoRNA from 1 species